AUGUCCACGACUCGAAUAUCAUGCCCUUACAUUUUGAAAUUACACCAAAGCCAAGCCAAUUCUUGUAAAUACCUCAGUGAACACAUAAUUGGACCUAGCACAAAAUCAUCAUUAUAUCAAUUCUCUACCAACCAAAACAGUUCUAAAACCCUUGCCAAAACUUGCGCCAAACUUGAAUCAAAAGAAACCUGCAAAAAGGUCAGUUUCAGUGUCCUCCAAACUUGUGCUUACAUCAAACAGGCUGCAACAUCAGUACCUAACAGAAAUAGAGAAAAUCGAUUCAUUAAAACCAGUUCAGCUACC